AGCCGGUAAAGCCAGCAACGGAAGAGAACUCGGGGCCCAACUGUCCCCAGCUGCCUGUAGAUGGAUGGGGCGUGCUGUCCUGCUCUGGGCUCUGCAGGUCCUCACAGAGAGGACAUUUUGAGAAGUGAGGGGCGGUGUCAGGGGUGUCAAACACCCCUGGUAGAGUCUUAGCAAGGGAAGCCUCAGCACCCUGCGGGAUGAUGGGUCUGCGUGCAGAGGAUCCUGUGGCCAGGGCCUCAGACUCCCAGGUGUCCCGAGGAGGUGUGCUGACCCCAGGCUGAGAAGUGGACUCCGUUGAGACCCCUGCUCGUGGAGCCCAGAAUCCACUCUGUUUCCACCGGAUGCAGCGUGUCAGGAUGAAGGCAGGAUGAGGAGUGUUUUCCUGAAGCAUUUACCAUCUCCAUUGGGAAGCCCCGGACUCCGGUUCUUUAUAAAGCACCUUGGUCAGCUGCUCCCUGAGCAGCUCCACCCGGAGUGGCUGGCACUGACCUGGAGGCUUCCUCGGCUUCCAGCCCAGACCCUCUGUCUGUGCCCCAGGCUGGACGCUGGGGCCCUGCAACUUGAGAAGCAGUGGUUCCUGCUCUCCCUCUGACUCAGAGGGCGCCGCCCUGAGCCCAGGGCGUGCACCCCACGGUCACCCUGCUGUGUGAGCUGCUGACCCUUCUGUGAAGGGGCGUGAGGCCUGGCACAGGCUGCGUCCCCCUGUGCCUGGCCGAUGGGAAGGUCUUACGCACUGACCCUUGUCCACACGCACGGAGCACGCUGUUCCUGGCGGAAGGUAUGCAGUUCUGGCAGACCUGGGCAGGGGCUCCCGUGUGGGGCCAGGAGCCGGGCUGAGGGCGGAGCCUGCCUGGGUCGGGUCCAGUCCCACGCGCUCGGACAGGGACCUCCCUGGGGUGCGGGUCGGGGAGAGCAGGCCCGCAGUGGACUCGGAUGUGAACACAAGGUGUCCGGGUGGCCGGCAUCGCCCGUGUGUGUUGCUGUCGGCUUAGGCCCCAUGGCUUCCCUGCGGACCCAGCUCCCGGGCCCUCCAUUCCUGGCUGUCAGCAGACGUGUGUGCCCAUGUGCGAGGUAGAUUCAUCCGUACCCGCGUGCAUCUGACGUGUACUGACAGAUAUCUGUAUGUCUAAUUGGCUUAGGGACUGGCGGUCUAAGUUCUGCUUCCUACGUAGUCUUUGUUUUUAGAUGUAUUUGUAUCAGCGCCCGAGUCCUGAGCUUCAAGGCGGAACCUCCCUAGACACCCAUAGCUCUGGCCCUGACCGUCUCUCCUGCCCGCGCUCUCCCCAGCCCAGUCCACCCUCCCUCCGGGUGCGAUCUGCCUCCUGUUCUUGUUCUGGAUGCUCCUUGGUACUGGGAUUGCACCCCUUCCUGCGUGCAGACAAGUGCUCUACCCCGAACUGUGUCCCCAGCGCGUUUUCUGAGACUCCUUGCAGCAGGGAAAGGCGCCAAGCAGCUUCUGAGUCGGGCAGGUUUUGCUGAACGGUGAUCUCCAGUUCCGUCCAUUUUCCCACAGGAUCUUGCCAAAUGCUGCAGUUGCUCAGCUUGCGCGUGUAUUUGGAACCCUCCUGCCUCAGCCUCCCAAAGUGCUGGGAUUAAAAGUGUGAACACCACACGUGGCUAUUUCCUUCUUCUUUAGAGCUAAAUAAGACUCUAUUGCAUACUGUCUUUAUUGGUCCCUCUUAAUGGACACCUCCGCUAAUUGUACCUUCUGGCUCUUGUGGUUGUGCUGCAGCAAGCACAGGCAGGCUGCAUCCCUGCCCUGCGCUGAUGUCUGCUCUGUGAGUGUGGGGGGCACAGUGAGGUCAGGUGGGGCAUUAGGCUUAGCUUCUGAAGCUCCUGGUCCUGAUUUCCACAGGAGCUGUGGUGUUGACCUUCCUCUGCACAGGGUAGAAGGGCUCUUCCUCACGUGCACACCCUCGCUUUUCUUUCUAGACCUAGAGAUGAGACACACUGGGUCAUGCUCACUGUUCUGUCACGGCGUGGAUUUCCGUGUAGGUUUGCGUUGAGCUCUGAAUGAGCCCCUCCCAACUGCAGGGCUGGGGACUCCCGGUCAGGUGAUGGCAGAAGGGCGGGGCCCUCAGCAGGGCCUUGGCCAGGAGGCUCCUAACCGCCCCCUCACGCUUCCCAGCCUUCCCGCUGGGUUUCCCUUCCUCUGGAGGUGCUUGGUCUUUGGCGCUUUGUCUCAGCAGCACAGUGACAGUGACGACCAGCGGCCAGGCAACAGGAGACAGAAGUGCAGGGAGACCACAGUCGUCUUUCAGGAGCACCAGCACACUGAAAGAUUUGUGAGAAACAGCAAUGCAGUGAGGCAGAAAGGACAGGGACGAGCAGGAGGGACAGUGUCCUGGGUGCCCUUGGACUCCAGGUGGCUCCGGGCAGCCUCUGGCCUGGCCUGCGUGUGGCACUUGUCUUCUCUGUGCUGGGCGGAGCCUCUGGGACAGGCAGCAGGUGCACUGCAGCCUGGAGCCCCGCCCCGCUCCUCCUGUGGCCUCUGCAGGCCACGCCUGACUGGUCUCCCAUCGCCACCACCUGGGGUCCAUGGAGAUCAGAGCUCUCUGCCCCAGAGACGCAGGGACGCAUGUGAAGUGCACGCUCGCUCUGAGAUGCGUGGGACAUUCUUGGCUGUGGUCCCUACCGCCCAACUCUGCAGCUUCCUCCCUCCUCCAGGAACUGUGGCCGCCGCCUCCUGACACCUCCCCUAGUCUGCUUCCCGCACCCCUGAGGCUAUGACUCUUCCAUUGAGCACAAUGGUGUCACAGCAUAAACAACGUGGAACGGAACCCAGGGUGCCCCACUGGCCUCCUCGCCCUCCUCUUCGCUGUGGGACUUACUCGGGGCCACACACAGGGUCCCACAGCGGGCGGUCUCCUCCUUGCUGCCCCCUUCCAGCCCCGCCUCUUCUUGGUGGAGGCUCCCGCGGCUUUGCUGGGAGCUGGAAUCCCUGGCUUCAGGCCCCAGCAAGGAGUAGAUGGCAGGGAGGCCUUUCCACCUCUUUCCGCCUCCUCCUGCUCUGGCCUUGUGGAUGAGCGUCAAAGGGGGGCGACCUGCAGGGCAUGGGGAGCCAGAGCAUCUGGUUGGCGAGCUCCAUGUGCCUCGUGCAGCCUGGCCCUCGAGUGUGUGGCUGCUGUUCAAUUUUCUUCACCUGGGGGCUUCCUGAGGAUCUCAAUCCCUGCGGGAUGGUUGAGUUUGGCUGGCCUGGGACGGCUCCGGCAGAGGUCUGGGGGUGCCCACUCUCCUGGUAGGGCCACUGGUACCUUGCGAUGGUCUCAACGGUGUGCCUCUGCCCAGGCUCCAGGGUGCGCAGCUGGCCAAGGAGGCUUCAUGCGUCCCCGGAGAGGGGACUGGAAGGCUGCACUUUCCCUCUAGGAUCUGCGCACAAUGGAGCGAGCCUGUGAGUGCACUGCAGAGGACAUCUCCGGACCCCAGCCGCUCCCCGCUGGCCCUCAGAGCUUUGCUGAGGACUGCGGCACAGUAGAGCAGGCGACACGGCAGGACAGCCCGUGCCCUCCUGAGGUCCUGGCACCCGGCCCUCAUUCGCUCGCUUCUGCGUUGCCCUUGGCAUCCAGGAGGAUGUUUCCAGGCCGCGGGUCCCUCGCGGUGGCAGUGGUGGCCGCUGUGCACGGCCGGUAGGAAGAGUUUUCCAGGCUUCUGCGGAAGGCAGCGGCCUCAGGACUAAGUGCACCGACUGUGUGCUCCACGAGUGAGGAGGGGGCCCCCAAGCAGCCAAGGUCACCCACUUUGACCCUACCCCCGGCAUCAAGCAGGACUCGCAUAAUUCCCUUCUGGUGACGGUGAACCACUGUGCAAGAUGUCUCCCUGAGGAGCCUCGGGCCUUCAGGAUGCAGUGUCACAGCCAACCCCACCUGCGCGUUCCUUCAGCAGACAGACCCGAUGCGCUGUUCAGUCCCUUGAAGCCGCUGGGUCCUGCGGGGUGACUCGAGCCCACAGCGUGUCCCCCGAGACACAGUGAAGGGGGCUUGUCUUGCGUCUCCUGCGGGACUUUUACAGCCGCUACACUUCCGGUAAGGGGACGCCGGGCCAGGGUCACCUGGGAAGAUUCUCCCUCUGCGACAAUGACUGGUGGGAGAAAGGAGAGAGAACAGCAGGGCCGGGGAAGGGCCCCGGGGCAUCUGGACGGCCCCUCUCCUACAGAUGUCUGCGUCCCUGCGUCCUCAGUCCCCACGCCGCUCAGACGCCAGGAUCCUCCGCGCUCGCAGCUCUCUGGCCGCCAGCUCAGCUGCACGGACCCCGCUGGAACCGCUCUCAGCGACACCGGGAUCUGCACGACGCUGCUCCUGUGCCGCGUCUCCCAGCCGACUCCUCCUGCCCAUCUGGACCUGCUCCCCAUGACCAACAACCCCCUUCCCUCUCUCUACCCGGGUCCACCCUUACGUUAGAUUGGUCCGUGGACAGUGGGAUGACAGAACAUGAAGAAUCCAGCAGGCCGCACAGCUGUAUCAGCCACCUACUCAGGUGUGCUCCUGACAGCCCUGUCCUCCAGCCCAAGGGAGCAUUGGUUUCUGCGUCCACAGAUGUCUGUGGGGCGGCAGGCAGCACUACAGGCUGGGAACGCAGGUGGUGAUCGAGUCCCCUUGCCCCUGACCUUGUCACAGGUGUAGGCUAUGUUUGCGGUCGUUCUAUGGUUUGCUCAGUCUGGAGGAAGUUUUCUGGCUAUUUCCACAGGGGCCACCCCUUCCCCUGGGGCUGGCAGGGGACACGGUAGCCUUGGUAACAUGUGGAUUGCAGGUGGGAAUGGCAGGCGUGGGCUCUUCCACCCCCUUCUUCCCUGACUGCCCAUCCUUCUCAGGCAGGGGAUGUUUGGAGAGUGAAGGGGCGUCUCACUGAGCCUCCUGUGUGGCACAAGAACCAAGCUGGAAGGAUGUGAGGGGGACGGGAAAGGCAUAACCCCCAGAUUCAUAGCGUCCACGUCGAUGGCACUGCCUGGACCCCAGGGUGCCUGGUGCUUAGCAGUCUUCUAUGUCGCCAUCAAUCGUUCCGUCUCAGAGUCUCGUAUCCCAUGAGGGUUGCAGCCCACCGGACACAUGGACUUCCAAAUCCACAAGGACAGGGCGAAUGUUCCACCCCACGGCUCAGCCCUGAUUGCCCAGGGUGUUGUCCGGCCUGGGCCUCUGUCUUGUUUCCGUUUUAGUAGGUGACUGAUGAUACUUUGUACUUCUGCAGAAAGGGAAGGCCGAGUGCUGCAUCUUUGCGGCAUGACUCGCUGCUGAAGAUGUGCAGAGGAGAACACAGGCGAUGGGAGGAACCCCGUUAUCACGCUGCCCAAGAGGUCGCACAGCUCUAGAUGUCUAGGGUAGAGCCCUCGUAUUUUUUUCCCUGCAAUAUUUCAGGAGCACAGCACAGGAGUAUGUCACAGAGCUUGCCCUGCAUCUGCCUGGGCCCUGUGCUUGCUGCCCAUGCCAAAGUUGCCGACCAUGGUGCUUCCUCUAGCACUUGCAGAGUGUCCUCCAGCUCACUGGUCUCUGUGAUGCCCUUGUUGGUCAUGAGGCCCCCGUGAUCUUUCACCAGGCCUCCUGUCCUGCAGGCGGCUGCCUCCAGGAUGCAGUGCAGUAGUUGUCCCCCUCUGGCACGCUCCAGCACUGGAUGCACUACAACAGGUGUUCUGAGCACUUGAUAUAGCUUGACCACAUUUGGAUGGCUCAGAGCCUUCAUUACAGAAAUAUGUUCAGCUGAGAUUCAGGAAUCCUAUCUAAUUUCCAUACGUCUUUGCUGUGACCCAUGCUAACUGGCGACAACUCUCUGGUGCCCAAUGUGGGGCCUCUCGAGCCUUGCUGCAAGGAGUUACCUGGGCUGUACUGAAUGCUCACAGGGUUGGACACCGUGAACAUGAGGCCCUAGUAGGAUCUUCAGUCUUAUGGCUGCUCUGCCAGUUCCUUGUUUCUCUUCUAACCCCUCUGAUUCCCUGGGUUCUACUGUACCUGUAAAGCUGUCUGACAUAUAUAUCUUUUUAGUCCUGUCCUUGGUGAAUCCAGACGUUCAAAUCAUGAACAGAAAAGUACGGUGAUAAAACAGAGAUAGAAGAAGAUUCUGUUUCUAGAAAUUUAACACAAAGUCCUGAAAGAGAGCCUUUAAGCACAGAUUGCUGGAUUGGUCUCAAGGAUGUGUUGGGGUCAUUGUUUGAUCCUCCAGGCCACCUCACCAUCCAUCUAGAAACACCUCCCUGAUCUUCAGCCACUGCUCAAAUUCUUCCCCUUAACACCCAGGUGCUUCCCAUUAAUUGGGACACUUCCUGGUGCUGGAUUUUGAUGAAUGGAAAUAACCACAGGUGAGAUUUCCUAGAAGGACUUGGUCCACUUUUCCUCUUGUACUGUUUACUAAGGUUAUCGGUUUCCUUUGUGCACCCUCCAACACUUCUUUUCAGAGAUCAUUUGGCUUUAUAAUUUUUAGUCUGCUUCUCCUUUAGCUCCAACCGUUCUGUAAGUUUUGAUCUGAAUCCAUAGCGGCAUUUGCCUCAUGUAAAGAUAAUACCUUUUCUCUAGAUUUUCUGCCUUUUUUAUCCAUUCAGCCAUAAGCUGCAACUGCUCUUCUAAUUCAGCAGAACACACUGGUAUUUUCUCUGCCUGAAAUCCUUUAAAACCAGCUCUUUCUGUGGAAACUCCAACUGCAUUCUUCUUGGGGACCAAGCUUUUUCUGGAAUAAACACAAAUCAUUUAGAAUCCAUUCAUUUUGAAUUUGAUAUUUUUUCUGUCCUCAAAUGAUGUUCAUGUUGCCAUUCUCAAAUUGAUGAACUUUUUUUUUCACCAUAUAGCUCUUAUUUCAGUUGCUUGAUGAUACUGUCUGCUUUCCUUCAUUGUUUUGAUAGCUGAUCUUUUAUCAGGUUCACAUGGUUUAUAACUUCUUGCUUCUGUUUAUCUGAUUUUUCGAACUCAUCCACCAGCAUUUCCUUUGCAUUGAUACUGAUUCAGUUCUUGAUCCUUCACAUUCAAGUUCAGCCUCCCGUCAUGUAAUUCUGAAUCCAAAUUCACACCUCUCACAGCUGUACUUUUAAUUAAUUCACAUUCAGUGCACAGUUUUAUUGCCAAUCAUCUGAGGUUUCUUUUGCUGAUUUCAGAUGCAAAUCAUGAAUCAGCAGAGUGUAUCUCUGCUGGAAGUCACAAUGUCACCAGGUGACCACAGUUAACACCCCCAGCUCAUGGUCAGCACCGCUACCAGUUGUCACCAUCCAGUGCCAGCUUGUGCUGGACACCAUAGGUUGACUCUGUCAGGUGUUGGGUCACUGCUGUUGGUCUUUGUUAGCUGCUGUUCUUCGUUGGCUGCUGCUCUCUGGAGUUCUUCAGUGUUAAUGGAACUCUUCACUCUCUCUGCCUACCUUACUCUACUCAGGAUAGAAGCCCUAAGUAGACUGAUAGGACUUUUAGAGCCCACACUAGCCAAGAAAUAAAUCACGAGCAGGUUUACAGGACACCAAAGCAAGUCCAUAACAGGGCUUGUGCCGCAGCACGGGGGUCUAGUCCACAGGAGGGACCCUCCUAGACUAAAACUCAAGGAGUGCCUGGAAAGUGCUACUGAUGUAGUAGGUUGCAGGGCUGUUUCAGUGAGGGUGAGAGCUGAAACUGGAAGACCCGCUGUGAAUGCUGGGUAAGCAGAUCAGCGGCCCAGGUCCCUCCAUUCCUGAUCCGAGGUACUCCCAGGUGCCCUCUCUUCCCAAAGAAGCAACAGUAUCCACUGCGGUGGCUAGAGGGGGAAGUGGCCCCACACGGCCUGGCUGAGGGGAGGACAGUGAAGCAAACUGUCCCGGUCCACUGGGGUGCAUGUGGGAGCAAGUGGCAGGGCAGACAGCUGUCAGCCAAGCCACACCUCCCAUAGCCAGCCGGGGCAAAGGAGGGAGACGGACGCUUCUCCUCCAUCCCAAUUUUGAGUGACACUGAAGUUCUUCCUUUUCUUGACACAAAAAUGACUUCUCUGUUUUAAGACUUGGACACACAUUCAAAGUUUCAUAUUUUCUUCGGCAAGAUGGUUCUCCUCCAGAAAUGCCAACGCAGUGUGCAGAUGAGGAGAAAUAUCCCGUCUGGCUCCAAAUACUCAGUCUCAUUAUUUCAUCUUCAGCCUCAGCGUUCAUUGGGGUCUGAACCUUUCUUCUUCAGAGAAACUCUGUGGAAGAAUUCUUGCCUUUUCUGCCACAGAAGCACUUUGCUUCACACCAUAAGCCUGCGGUUCCAAUUCCUUUCACACUGAUGAAUUCUUGGACUCUUUUCCAAUGCCUGCAUCUCCUUCUCUCCGUAAGAUGUCUCUGUCAUUCUGUGCAGAUUUUUUUAAGUGUCUUUUUUAGCCUCAGCUUCUUGUAGACUCCAGUUUUUCAGUUUGCAGAACCUGACUAAUUUCUGUAUCUCACAUAUUCUAGAGUUAUCAGUUAUUCUAACUCCUGAGUGGCCGUGUCAUUAUAUCUUCAGUGCAUUCUCUAUAUUUGCUUAAUUCCCUUCCGUGCUGAUGACUCUAUCUCUGCCAUUUUCUUUGGUGUGGACUCCGUAAUGCUGACAUUUGCUGCCGCUGUUUGUGGAUUUCUUGGAUUUGGCUCUGUUUAAAUUCCUUAAUAAUAUUUUACAGUGUGUGUAUUUUAUGUUAGUGUUCCCUGUCCCUCGUUCUGUUGCAGCUGACUGUGAUAACUUGUAGAUUGCUGCUCUAUUUGAAGCUCUGAUGAAUCAUACUUUUCUUCUAGAUCGGUACAAAAUUGUUAACGUCUUAUUCUCUAAUUACACUCUCUGGGUGGCUUCCGUCUCUUUUCUUCCAAACUGAGAUAAAUCGCGCUGAUACCAGAGCCGUCUUCCCUCACCUUUGCCCAUGCAGGAAUUGGUCGUGUUCCCCAUGAUAUACAGGGAGGGUAUCCAGAGGAUCUCCUAUGGCAGCACCCACUUGAGCACUUUGGGGCUCAGUCCUGUGCCCACUCGCUGCUCCCUGUCUCCCCCCCCCCGGUGGCCAGCCUGAUGCCCUCCACUGGCCUCCACCUCUGCUGCCUCCAGAGCAAGCCGAUCCAUUCUGGCCUGGGGUCUGGGCCUUCUGGGCUGGGUCCAGUCCUUCUUUCUCUGAGCACUGACCUCCUUGGAGUGUGGGUCAGGGAGACAAGAUAUUCAGUGAAUUCAGGAGACAGAUGUGGCUGAACAUAAGGUGUUCAGGUUGCCUAUUUACUAAAUCUUAGAUUUAAGUGGGGUAUUUUCAUAGAUAUCCAUAACAUACUGUAAUCCUGUCUGCUCCCCACUUACUCUCCUUUCCACACAAUAUUUCCAGAGCACAGAGUAGGGGACUGUCAUAGAGCUUGGCCAGCUUCUGCCCAGGCCCUGCAUUUGCUGUCUACAUCAAAGUCACUGGCCGUGGUGUUUCCUCCAGCACCCACAGGGCACUCUCCAUUUCCAUCUCUGGCUUUUGCAGGAGUGCAUGGUCCACACGGCCCUGCUCCAGGCCUCCUCUUCCUGAAGGUGACUGCCUCCGGGAUGCCAGCGGUAGCUUCCCCCACGUCGUACUCCAUCACCUCAUGCACUGCAUCAGGUGCUCUGAGCUCUUGGAAAAGCUCGAUCAUAUUUUGGUGAUGCGGAACCUUCAUUGCAAAGCAUUCUCAACAGGAACAUCCUGCCUCCUCGUGCCUCCUACCUGAUCUCCACACGUCUUUUCUGUGACCCAUGCACGGCAUCUCUCUGGGGCCCAAUGUGGAGCCUCUCUAGCCUUGCUGUAGGAGUCUCCCAGACCCCAUAAUGCACUAACUGCUCACAGUAUUGUAUGCCCUGAACAAGUGAAACCCCAGAGGGACCCUCAAUCUUACAGCCACUCUCCCAGUCCCUUUUUGUCUUCCCUGGCUCUUUUGUUUGAUUGCCUGGGACUGCAGAGUCAUUUAACGAAUCCAGAAUAACCGAAAAUUGGCAGUCCUGUUGGCCAUCUUGAUUGGUUAUUGGUUUCUUUAUGCUUGGUUUUAAUUUUAUUUUAUACUAGCUGUAUUAUUUUCUAGAGAAACCCUUUUUGCCCUUAAUUCUCCACGUAGUUCCCAGGGAUGGCAAGAAUAAUUUGAAAUAGGGUCAGUUCCAGGUCCCCCUUCACUUCCUUCGUGAUACUUUCUCCCCACCGCUUGCCUGACGUCCACAAAGGUAGAUGUGUGAUUGCAACUAUCACUGUCUUUUGUCUCCUUUCUUUUCUCUUAUUCUGUGUCUCCUUGCUCUAAUUUUGUGGAGACUUUAAUUUGGGGGAAGCUUGCUUUAAUUUUGUGAGGUUAACUAGCAAGCAAAGGAAUCCCGGAACAGACGAGCCAGGGUGUAGAGAAAACCUUAAGGGUUUACAUGAGCACAUUUGAAAGGACUAAUUCAAUCUCAGUGCUCCUGCAGGAAAUUCCGGCCAGUGUCUCUGAAAGUGCACACAGAUUUAAUGGGUUGUCUAUGUAUUUUAUAUGUUCUCUACUCUGUUGCUCUGGCGGUUAAUCUCUUGUUUGUGAUGUCUGACUUGGUAAAGCCCACAAUGUGGAGACCCGCGACAAUAAUUCCAUCGAGCACGUGAGUGAAGAUUCCCGAAGGGAAACUGGCCCUGAGUUCCUAGGAGUGACUUUAGCCCUGGGACCUGAGGCUGCUUCGUUUUUUGUCACUUUUUGAGUUUGUGAUUUUCUUUUUUUCUAUGCACAUAAAAUUCUUAGAUUGUUGUUACAGGGUUAAAGAUAGAUACUUUUAGUCCUCUGGGUUCUUUCUCCAUUGUUUUUAAUGGAAAUACUGGUUCAGACUAAAUAUAAGGGGAAGGAAUUUCCCCUGGGGACCCCUCAGGCCUGGGGGACUCCUAGGGAACCUCCUGCCACAGCCGCUCAAGCAGCUACCUGGCCAUGCCCCCUCGGUUUCCGCCAGGGCUGGGGCAUCCUCCAGCUCUCUCCGGGGUUCUGUGUGCCCCCUCCCCACUUCCCUUUCUCCCUCAUUACUUUUCUUAGGGAAAACAAAACUGCUUGUGUUACAAGGCAGAAUGGACCCAACCAGAUGAACUUUGCCCUGUGCGUUCCAGAAACGUGAGCCUCUGGAGAGCGAGGAAGGGCACGGGCCUUGUUCCCAGCCUCUCCUGUGCAGGGCUCGGUUUUGGAAGGAUGCUCCUUUUGAUUUUCCUUUACUUUCAUUCUUCUUCUCCUUUAUUUCCUUAAAAUCUAGUGAAGCAUCUCAGCCUUUCUCUAAGAUAAAAGAAUACUCACUGAGGUGUGGUGGUACACGUCUGCAAUCCCAGCACCCUAGGAGCUCGAGGCGGAAGAUUUGAGAGCUGGAGUCCAGUCCGGCAACUCAGCGAGAGCCUGUCUCAAAAAAUAACAAAAAUGGGAGGGUAGGGGGUGGCUCACUGUAAGGCUCUGGGGUUGCACCCCCGGGAUACACAACGAGUAAUUCACCUCCAUUCGAACUUUUCUAAGGACUCUUUCAAAGUAACAGAUGUCAAACUGUUAAAGCCAGGUGAGGUCGCACAAGCCUGGGACCCCAGCACUCUGAGAGGCAGUGAGGCAGGAGGGCUAUGAGUUCGUGACUGGUGAUUUAGCAAGAUCCCUCCCCAAAAGGAAAAGUAAGGGAAGGGCAGGGAGGGCGCUCAGUGGGAAGGCCCUUGGUUCCAUCCCCAGUUCUACCAACAACUACUACAACAACAAAAUGUUAAGGAAAAAAAAAACCUAGUAAAUCGAAUAAGAUGUAAAAAAGUUAUAGGGCUACUUUUUAUAAGAAAAGUUAAAGGAGAGAGAAUUAUUUACAAUACAAGAGGAUUUUCUGUCGUAAGAUUUUUGUCCUAAAUUACUGGAAUACUUCAAAAUAAGGAAGAAAAAAGACAACAGAAACUAAGGAUGUAAAAAUUAUAAUGUGUCUGGGCAGGUUGCAGAGAAUAAUAAUUUGUAUGCAUGGUAAAGGUGACUACAACUGCAAUUUUAUUUUAAAGGGGUUUUCUAAGGUAAAACUUCAGUGCAACAACAAAAAACCAAAAUCCAAGGCUCUAUGUUAAUACACCAAGGGUGGUUAAAACACUGAUCUCUGUUUGAUAACAUGUGCACAGUAUUAAGCCGGGCAUGGUGGCACACGCCUGUAAUCCCAGCACUCAGGAGGCUGAGGCAGGAGGAUUGACACAAGUUCAAGGCCAGUGUGGGUUACAGAGUGAGUCCAAGGCCUGCCUGGACUCCAUUUUGAGUCUCUGUCUCGAAAAACUCAAAGAAUCAAACACACAAAGUACAGUACUGGCUUAGAAAAUAAGGGUUUUCUGUUUGUCAGAAUUUUGAUCACGUAAGGAACUAGGUCUCGGUAGAGCCAGAGAUUUUUAAGGUGUUUGCUGUAAAGUCUUUUAAGUCAUCACUUUAUGACACUGGUUAACAAAUGACUCUUCUUCCGGGUCAUUGUGAACCUGGCACCGUGUAUAUGUGACAAACAAUGUGUAUUCAUCUGCAGACUAAAUAUGCUGUGUGUCUAAGCUUUGUCCAAAUGUUAUACAAAAGUUUGUAAUAUUAAAGGUGCAUCAGUCGGGCACGGGCAACGUCCUGAAUGUGUGUUGUCGUCUGUACAAUAUCAAC